GACGCCCCAUCUCCAUCAAGUUUUUCUUCCCCUCUAGUUUUUCUGAUUGAAUCUGCCCCCACAACCUCUGCAACAUGCCAUAUUUCCUUUGCUUUGCUAUUGCUACUCUCCGUGCGUGAGCCCACUUCCCUUUCUUCCUUUGCCUUCUCCUUCUCUCCCAUCUUCUUCUUCUCCAUCGACACCACCUUAGAUAACCAUGGCAGCUUCUCUCACUACAGCUGUAAUGCAUAGCAAUAAUCAUCAGCAGCUAAAUGCAUAGUUCUCGAAAAAAAAUUCCCCCUGUUCUUCACCAA
rnacentral:lncRNA from 1 species